rnacentral:rRNA from 1 species
CAAUAGCGUAUAUUUAAGUUGUUGCAGUUAAAAAGCUCGUAGUUGGAUUUCGGAUGGGAUUUGCCGGUCCGUCGUUACGAUGUGCACUGGCCAGUCCUAUCUUGUUGUCGGGGACUAGCUCCUUGGAUUCACUUCCUGGGACUAGGAGCUGACGAGGUUACUUUGAGUAAAUUAGAGUGUUCAAAGCAAGCCUACGCUCUGAAUACAUUAGUAUGGAAUAACACGAUAGGACUCUGGCUUAUCUUGUUGGUCUGUGAGACCAGAGUAAUGAUUAAGAGGGACAGUCGGGGACAUUCGUAUUUCAUUGUCAGAGGUGAAAUUCUUGGAUUUAUGAAAGACGAACUUCUGCGAAAGCAUUUGUCAAGGAUGUUCUCAUUAA